AGAGUUUGAUCCUGGCUCAGGACGAACGCUGGCGGCGUGCUUAACACAUGCAAGUCGGGGGGCUCGCAAGGGUCACCGGCGAACGGGUGCGGAACACGUGAGCGACCUGCCCUGGGUGUGGGGGAUAGCCGGCCCAACGGCCGGGUAAGACCGCAUACGCCUCCGGCCUGAGGGUCGAGAGGGAAACGGAAGGCACUGGGAGGGGCUCGCGGCCUAUCAGCUAGUUGGGGGGUAACGGCUUCCCAAGGCGAUGACGGGUAGCUGGUCUGAGAGGAUGGCCAGCCACAUUGGGACUGAGAGACGGCCCAGACUCCUACGGGAGGCAGCAGUGGGGAAUCUUGCGCAAUGGGCGAAAGCCUGACGCAGCGACGCCGCGUGGUGGAGGAAGGCCUUCGGGUUGUAAACCCCUUUGGCCCGGGACGAACGACCGGCUUUGGCUGGUGUGACGGUACCGGGAGAACAAGCACCGGCUAACUCUGUG
rnacentral:rRNA from 1 species